AGUAACCACAGGGGGAGUCCCAUAAAGGGGCUGAGAGGGGAGUAAGUUCCCGACCCUUAGAACCUGAAGCAAGAUCAUGCUUGCGUAGGAAUGUGGAGUCGCUGUUGU
rnacentral:ncRNA from 2 species